CAGAAAUAUAAACAUUUAUAUAGAGAAACUUUUACAAAUUGAUUAGUGAACAGUAUUGAAAAUGUUUUUUUUUAGAAUGCAUUGUGCUUUGAUCAAUUUUUAAAGUUCAUUCAAUUUCUUCUUUUAAGGAGUGGAACUUCCUUUUGGUAUCAGUUAAUGCAAAUUUAAAGCAUAUUUGUUUAGUUUUGGCUAAAAUCUUAUAUGAACGUAUAGGAAGGCAUAGUUUGUAUAUUGAAGUUGGAAGAAGGUACAAACUUUAGAAUUGCAAAUCUUGGAUUUAAACUGUAGCAAUUUAAUUUCAAGUAUAUCGAGUAUUAAAAGAAGCUUAGAUAGACUAGCUGAUAAGAAAACAACACAUUAAGAAACUUAAAUGAUUAUAAAUAUGCAACUAGGAUACUGUAAAAGUGCUAGACUACAAAUAAAAGAUGUAGUAACAGUUAUUGGUGAUAUUGAACUAUCACAGUUUGGAAUAGAUUUAUUCCUUAAAGGUUCAAUUUAUUCAUUAUACAAACACCCUAAACUUAAUGUAUGUAUACCAUCAAUAGAAGCUUUGAUUCAGUCUCUUAAUGAUCUUGAAAAAAAGAAAGUUAGUUGGAAAACUAUUGAAUAACAAGCAAAAAAUACCAGAAAUAGCAAUACAGCUUUAAUAAGGAAAGAAAAUUCUUACAAGGGAACCUCGCACCCGAUGUGUCUGGGAUUGUGCCAAUGUUUUGUCAUCUGGGGGGGCAUAAAGAGUAGAUGAGGAAUCGCCC
rnacentral:lncRNA from 1 species